rnacentral:ncRNA from 1 species
AAGCGCCAUGGACCUGUUGAUACGAUCGUGAACAUUUUUCCAGGAAAAAUGGUAUCAAGGGUUGACGAGGUGAAGGGUUAUCGAAUAUUCGGCGGAUGCCCUUCCAUGCCCUCCGGGCGUGAUUCUUACGUGAAAUAUGCGGGUAACUGCAAAACAAAC